CUGGUUGGAAGAGUACACAUGUGGGCUCCUGUCUUACUGGUUGUUUUCAGUCAAACGUGAAAAGGUCAUUAGAAAACGUACCAAUGACAGCAUAAAUGUAGUCAGUCGGCCAUAUUUCUCCACUGCUUCUGCGACGAAUCCUCCACCGCCGCGGCGUUGGAACCACCGCAUCUGCGAAAGCUAUGGCCAGUGUGCAUUUUGCAUUUAUGUUAGUUAAGGUAGACACCGUUGAUGUUUUUUACUGGCCCAAUAGAAAUAGGGCAUUUGCGUUUCACUCAGGAAUCAGUAACACUAAAAUGCAUUAUGCUUUUUAUCCGCCCUUUACAAAUAUGGCAUAUGCAUUUUACUUGCUCUUAACAAACAUGCAUUUCACUUAGCCAUUUGAAAUACGGUAUAUCAUAAUUAUUAGGUUUUUAGAAAUACUGCAUAAUUUUUAUUUAUGUUGUAUAACAUUGCUGUUAGAAAUAUGGCACUUGCUUUUUAGGCUGGCAAACUUGUUCGCUAGACUAUUAUUACCACAAGUCGAAAGUCACAAAGACUGUUGAGACUGACCACACAAAAUUAUAUUUCAUGCGCAAUUCAAAUAGUUCUGUGCUGUAUAUCAAUUUUACUAUGAAUUUGUUUAAAGAUUGAUAAACUUACCUGUCUCAAUAAAUCUAUUUUUUUCAACCAUUUUAUAAUCAUGUUUUCUUUUAAAGGAAAAAUAUUUGAAAGUACAAACAGAUCUUUAUAAAGGCAUUGCUAAUUACAUAUUCAUUCUUACUAGCGUUUCUUUAUUAAGCUGGCGUAACAUCUCUCUGCUUGUACAUUCACUUUUGUAUAGACUGUUAACUUAUGCAUGCAAGCAAGUUUAUUUUUAGACUGUGGAAUAGUCGAUUUUAAGCAGAAAUAGUGUGUUAAGUUCUUAAUUAGAGUUCUGUCAACAAUUUUAUAUAAUAUACGAUAACAUAUAUACAAAUCUAAAAUAUAUAACAUACUUCAUGGUGUUACUGAAAUAGAUAGUGAAGAUACCGAAGUUGCUUAAGAAAGUAAUGGAGUUUUCCUCAUGCAUAAUCUAUUGUUAGAUUUCCAAAGAAUAUUAUUUAGGUUUUUCCGUGUUCUAUUUUAGGAAUAAUGUCAGUAAUUUCGUCGAAAAUAUGCUUCCGUGGUGUAGUCGAAAGAAGUCCAUACUAAAUAGAUUCUAAUUUUCCCAUUUUUGCGCACAAAUUUGUGUAGAACGAGUGCUUCAAUCACAUUUUUUCACUGCUAGAAUAUAUUCUGCAUGAAAUGAGAUGGUUUUCAUGUUUAUACACCCCAUAUGGCAAGUUUUGCAGAUCAAAAUCUGAAGUAGGUGUUUAUUGUACGGACAAGAGCAAAUAUGCGCCAUUGUUUGGGUAGUAGACAACAACUGACUGGCAUUUGGCACAAGAUCACAGUUAUUUGCACUUGGUUGACCACAGUAAGGAAGUGGUGAAGUGGAAAAUAGUUCCUCUGUUUGAUGGAUGCUUUGGACCAACGACUGUCUUACUUCAUUACACAUUUGCCUGUUGUUAGUAGAUGAUCCCUAUAGUAUCGGAGGCCAAAAAUCAAGAUCACAGCAAUUCAAAGAAUAACAAGAGAUGUUCAGAGAUAGCAGGCCAAACUAUAUGCUUAAUAGUGAAAUGGGACAUAUUUGAGGAAACUAGAGCUAUCACAGGAGCAAUCAAUACUCUCCCUUGCGGAUGAUGAUGUUGGACAACAGUUAAAGGCAAAUCCACUCACUAAAUAACACAGAGCUGAGCUCCACUGCCUAUACAGUAGCUGUCCGUAUACUUCUUACAGUCAAGAACAGUUUGCCGAGUGGUUAACAAGGGGCAGGACGUGAAGUGGUUGCACACUUGGUUCAGGCGAGGGAAAUGGUUGCAAACUUACAAAAUGGCGGAUAUUUUCUGAAAUCAUUGCGUGUUCGCUUGUUUUUUUUUAUCAGGUCUAGAUGCUAUGAACAUCAGAUGCUAUUAUGACCCGAGUCUCGGAGAGCAUGAACAUGAAUCUUCAUUAGUUGAAAAAACUAUGCUAUCACGUAUAUCAGAAAAACACGUUAGAGAUCACGAGUUUAACCGAAGGAAAGGAACCAUACCAAAGUAUGGAACCUUAAGAAAAUUGAAUAAUAUACCAAGAGGUGUUCGACCAGUUAAGUCACAUUACAGAGUUGACGAGUCCACUAAGACUAUAUUUUGAAUGAACUCGCAAAUUAAAAUACAACGCAACAGUUACGAUGUAUACAGUGGAUUGAAAUUGAUAAACUAUAAUAAGAAAAUGUUCGGCUGCGAUUAAAUCCGUCUUCUCUGAAAAUGAACAAACAUAAUUA